GCUAGUACUGGCGCGGGAGGCGGGAGGUUGGAGGCGAGGAGCUCGCGGCCUAGGCUGUUUGGGUCCCUGGCGCGAGCUGUAGACGGAGAGAGGGGUCCGGAGAAGGAGGGGUGAAAGUAGCAGUUAGCCCGCGAUCUCAGAAGGGCUGCCCGCCCCUCACGGUCCCUUAAUAGCACGUUGCGUCCUGGAAGUUCUAAAACGUCCCGCUUCAAUAUGAAUUUUAAAUUAGUGAAAACAUAUGUGUAUUGUUUUAGGCUUUCCCACCGCGGGGACGGCCCUCCGGGGGUUGACUUAGCUGGGAUGCAGAAUAGAAGCUGGGCCUUUGUCUGACUACCCUGCAACAGUCAGCCACAGACGGGAAGGCAGCGCAGGAAACUGAGGCCAAAGGAGCCGCGCUUCCUCAUGAGCAUGAAGCGGCAAAGCCUGAACUAGAAGCUUCUAACGCCUAACCGUCCUCUUGCCGCACCAGGACCUACCUCUGCAAGGCCCUUCCUGACUUUUUCCUUAGAAUGUGUGUAUAUGUGUCUUUUUCCUUUUCUGAUGCUAAGACACCUCAGAAACACCAAUGUUAAGCAGAUUUCCAUCGUUGGAGGUUAAAACACCCGAAUACAAGUGUUUUCUUGAGUGUGGCAUCUGGUCAGAUGUUUUAUGGGUUGGUUUGUUUUUAAAAAAAAAAAAUUUCCUGUUAGAUGGGUGGUAAGAACCAGUCAGAGUUUGUAAACCCACCAAGCACGAGGCGGUCGGACCGUCCAGAUUCUGGAGUCCAGAAGACACCAAACGUUCUCAGAAUGCCGAACGCGGGCGCCACCUGGUGGGACUAGAACGCUUAUUGUCCCAAAUCAGCAUAGCACACAGUUCCCAUAAAUCUUAAAAAUUCCCAUCCAAGGCUCAUUUCCGUGUGACUAAAAGUCAUAUUCUCUGUUCUCGUGACUCCAAGUAAAAAUGUCCCUAAAGAGCCAAAGUAUCUUCACUGUAUAAACUAAUAAUCUAUUGGUUUGGGGAAUUUUAUUUUUUGUGAUCAAUGUUACUUUAGCCUUUCUAUGAUAUACAUAUAAAUAAAAAAGUUUUCUUCCAUGA